UACGAAGGGGGCUAGCGUUGUUCGGAUUUACUGGGCGUAAAGCGCACGUAGGCGGUUUGUUAAGUGAGAGGUGAAAUCCCAGAGCUCAACUCUGGAACUGCCUUUCAUACUGGCAAGCUAGAGUCCGGAAGAGGUAAGUGGAACUCCUAGUGUAGAGGUGGAAUUCGUAGAUAUUAGGAAGAACACCAGUGGCGAAGGCGGCUUACUGGUCCGGAACUGACGCUGAAGGUGCGAAAGCGUGGGGAGCAAAACAGG
rnacentral:rRNA from 1 species